UACGGAGGGUGCAAGCGUUGUUCGGAAUCAUUGGGCGUAAAGCGCGUGUAGGCGGUUGCCUAAGUCUGGUGUGAAAGCCCGGGGCUCAACCCCGGAAGUGCACUGGAUACUGGGUGACUAGAGGGCGAGAGAGGAAAGUGGAAUUCAUGGUGUAGGGGUGAAAUCCGUAGAUAUCGGGAGGAACACCGGUGGCGAAGGCGGUUCUCUGGGCCUUACCUGACGCUGAGGAGCGAAAGCGUGGGGAGCAAACAGG
rnacentral:rRNA from 1 species